CUUGUAAUUGGAAUGAGUACAAUUUAAAUCCCUUAACGAGGAACAAUUGGAGGGCAAGUCUGGUGCCAGCAGCCGCGGUAAUUCCAGCUCCAAUAGCGUAUAUUAAAGUUGUUGUGGUUAAAAAGCUCGUAGUUGAACCUUGGGCCUGGCUGGCCGGUCCGCCUCACCGCGUGUACUGGUCCGGCCGGGCCUUUCCCUCUGUGGAACCCCAUGCCCUUCACUGGGCGUGGCGGGGAAACAGGACUUUUACUUUGAAAAAAUUAGAGUGCUCCAGGCAGGCCUAUGCUCGAAUACAUUAGCAUGGAAUAAUGAAAUAGGACGCGCGGUUCUAUUUUGUUGGUUUCUAGGACCGCCGUAAUGAUUAAUAGGGACAGUCGGGGGCAUCAGUAUUCAAUUGUCAGAGGUGAAAUUCUUGGAUUUAUUGAAGACUAACUACUGCGAAAGCAUUUGCCAAGGAUGUUUUCAUUAAUCAGGAACGAAAGUUAGGGGAUCGAAGACGAUCAGAUACCGUCGUAGUCUUAACCAUAAACUAUGCCGACUAGGGAUCGGACGAUGUUAUUUUUUGACUCGUUCGGCACCUUACGAGAAAUCAAAGUGCUUGGGCUCCAGGGGGAGUAUGGUCGCAAGGCUGAAACUUAAAGAAAUUGACGGAAGGGCACCACCAGGGGUGGAGCCUGCGGCUUAAUUUGACUCAACACGGGGAAACUCACCAGGUCCAGACACAAUGAGGAUUGACAGAUUGAGAGCUCUUUCUUGAUUUUGUGGGUGGUGGUGCAUGGCCGUUCUUAGUUGGUGGAGUGAUUUGUCUGCUUAAUUGCGAUAACGAACGAGACCUUAACCUGCUAAAUAGCCCGUAUUGCUUUGGCAGUACGCCGGCUUCUUAGAGGGACUAUCGGCUCAAGCCGAUGGAAGUUUGAGGCAAUAACAGGUUGACCUACACAGGCCUGUAACAGUGGGCCUCUGGAAAAAAGAUAACCGCUAGUCCAGUUACUUUGCUCUCGCGGGGGAAGUCCCCCUUUAUCGGGCGAGGGAGCAGCGUCGUCCGGCGCUGCUUGUUUCGGGCAACACCACCUGGUACAGGGAACGCCCAACGGGCCGAUCCUGUGGCGAGCCUGGGUAACGCCAGGCCGUCGCAACGCGCGCUAAGGGGUGGGCUAAGCCUCCGGGCUGGCUUAAGGUACG
rnacentral:rRNA from 1 species